AGUGUGUUGACGUGGACCAAACUAUACCUCGUCAUCCUUCUCUUCUCUUCUCGUCUUUCUUUCUGCCACUCUGUGAGAGAGAAGAAGCUAACCUAAGCUAAGCUGAGCUCGCUCUCAAAAAUGUCUAAGUUACUUCUCCUUCACUCUCCUAAUUUCACCCCAGUUGUCUAUCGCCGGACCAUCACUUCAAUUCUCUCUAAACCUAAUUUCCACCUUUCUUCCUCUCUCUUUCCUCCUCCAUCCACCACUGCCACCGUCACCGCCACCGUUAACCACAUCCAAAGCCAUAUCUCCAGCUCUCCUCCUCUCCAUUCCUUUCCUUCUCCAAUUCUUCGCUGCAGAAAUUUAUCCGCUCGGGCUUUCGAUUCUUCCUCCGAUACUAAAACAGAAGAAAUUAAAGAAGAAGCAGAGAAGAAACAAUCCGGCUCAGAAGAUGGAAGCGUUAAGAGAGUUCAAGAAGAUUACCCAACUGGAGAAUUUGAGUUUAAAGAAUUUGGAGCUUGGAAGCGUUUUCUUGUUAAGCUUCGUAUGUUGAUUGCAUUCCCUUGGGAGCGCGUUCGGAAAGGCAGCGUUUUGACUAUGAAAUUGCGCGGCCAGAUAUCUGAUCAGCUAAAGAGCCGUUUCUCUUCAGGACUAUCUUUACCCCAAAUUUGUGAGAAUUUUAUAAAAGCUGCUUAUGAUCCUCGUAUUUCUGGUAUUUAUCUCCACAUUGAGCCCUUGAAUUGUGGGUGGGGUAAAGUUGAAGAGAUUCGGAGAUACAUUUUAAAUUUCAAGAAAUCAGGAAAAUUCAUUGUUUGCUAUAUUCCUGCUUGUAGAGAGAAAGAGUAUUAUCUUGCUUGUGCCUGCCAUGAGAUAUAUGUUCCUCCAAGUGCUUAUUUUUCUUUGUAUGGAUUGACGGUUCAAGCAUCAUUCCUUCGAGGAGUUCUUGAUAAAGUAGGAGUUGAACCAGAAGUUCAAAGGAUUGGUAAAUACAAAAGUGCUGGGGAUCAACUUCUGCGGAAAACUAUGUCUGAAGAAAAUUGUGAGAUGCUAACAGCGUUGCUUGAUAACAUUUAUGGGAAUUGGCUGGAUUGCAUUUCUUCCACAAAAGGUUCUUUUUGGUAUUGGAGUUUUGCUCAAUCUUAUAGCAGUAAAUAUUGUUAUUGGUCUUUGAAAAUCUAUGUAGGAAAAAAGAGAGAAGACAUUGAGAACUUCAUCAAUGAAGGAGUCUACAAAGUAGAGAGGCUGAAAGAAGAAGGCUUGAUAACUAAUAUACACUAUGAUGAUGAGGUUAUCUCCAUGCUGAAAGAGAAACUCAGUGUCCAAAAGGAUAAGAUUCUUCCUAUGGUUGACUACGGGAAGUACUCGCGAGUUAGGAAUUGGACACUUGGUAUAACUGGUGGUCAAGACCAGAUAGCUGUGGUCAGAGCAUCUGGGAGCAUUAGUCGUGUGCGGAGUCCAUUAAGUUUACCAAGUUCUGGUAUCGUUGGGGAGCAAUUCAUUGAGAAGAUUCGUCAAGUAAGAGAGUCAAAAAGAUAUAAAGCUGUUAUUGUUCGGAUUGACAGCCCUGGAGGUGAUGCCCUUGCUUCUGAUUUAAUGUGGAGGGAAAUCCGACUUUUGGCUGAAAAAAAACCUGUGAUUGCAUCGAUGUCUGAUGUGGCUGCAAGUGGAGGAUACUACAUGGCAAUGGCAGCAGGGACUAUAGUUGCAGAAAAUUUAACCCUAACUGGCUCUAUUGGAGUUGUUACAGGGAAAUUUAACUUGGCUAAACUAUAUGAAAAGAUUGGCUUCAACAAGGAGAUUAUAUCAAGGGGUAAAUAUGCUGAGCUCCUUGCAGCUGAACAACGACCUUUGAGGAAACUAACCGGAGUUGCUUUUCCAGACCAGAUGAAGCAGACCUUUUUGCUAGGUCUGCUCAACAUGCGUAUAAACAAUUUCGAGACAAGGCAGCCUUUUCGAGAUCAAUGCCUGUGGAAAAGAUGGAAGAGGUUGCACAGGGUAGAGUCUGGACUGGUAAAGAUGCAGCUUCACGAGGUUUAGUUGAUGCCAUUGGUGGGCUUUCUCGUGCUAUCGCCAUAGCGAAACAGAAGGCCAAUAUUCCACAAGACAGAGAGGUAACUGUGGUUGAGCUGUCAAGACCGUCUCCUACAUUGCCAGAGGUUUUAAGUGGCAUAGGGAGUUCUAUAGCAGGAGUAGAUAGAACUUUAAAAGAAUUGUUACAAGACCUAACGUUUGCAGAUGGAGUUCAAGCUCGAAUGGAUGGAAUCAUGUUCCAGAGAUUGGAGGAAUCUUCUUAUGCCAACCCAAUUUUAAGUUUGAUAAAAGAUUACCUCAGCUCCCUCUGACCUUAAAUCAUCAUCAACUGUCUACAAUAUUUUUGGCUGAAAAUUCUGUAAAUUCAUUGUUUUAAUUAUCAUAAUUUCCUAGUCAUGGAAAGAUCGAUAGUUAUUUUCUCAGAGUCUACCUUGAUCGAGGAAAAAGAGGGGGUAGAGGUUUAGAGCUAUGACAUUGGUCUUAUAGAAAAGCAAAAAGAAAAUGAAAUCUAAUAAUUUAGUUGGUCCUCAGAUUAUUUAACUUUAAAUCCUCAAUUUAAAUCUCAAAAACAUGGAAUCCAUA